UGAAGCUUCAUUUUCUGCGAAGUGCCGAGAGCCAUUGGAAGCCUUGAAGUGAAGAGAAGCUACUGUAAAUGCUUUGAGGACUUAAGUGAAUAUUCAAUACCUUAUAAAAAGGAGUGAAGAUUAUCAUUCAAAAACAAAAGAAAUAAUUUUUAAAAAAUGAUAGACCAGGGAUUAUGGUGAAGAUCAGCAAUGAAAUCUACAGUUGCCUGGCACAUGGUGGGCCCUCAUUAAACUGAGUUGCUAUUAUUAUCUUGAUCUAAAUUUCAUGAGUGAUGUUUCCUUAUUUAAUUCAAAUCGUUGGUAGCAUUUAAUUUGUAAAAUCAGCAUCCAGAAUGACAUUUUUAGCUUUGGACAGUAACUGAAUCUGCUUAUUACCAUAGAAGAAUAGGUUCAUUCUGUUUGCAAUUACAACAUUAACGUAGAUGACUAGAAAGUCAGGCACUAUUUUACCUUGUUGAUACGUGAUUAGAAAAUUUAAAUGAACAAUCACAAACAGAAAAAAAAAAAGACAGAAAGAAAAGAAAUAUGUCCUGGCAGCCUACCUCACAAAAG